rnacentral:rRNA from 1 species
CCUACGGGUGGCUGCAGUGAGGAAUAUUGGUCAAUGGGCGGAAGCCUGAACCAGCCAAGUAGCGUGCAGGAUGACGGCCCUACGGGUUGUAAACUGCUUUUAUACGGGAAUAAAGCGACUUACGUGUAGGUCUUUGCAUGUACCGUAUGAAUAAGGACCGGCUAACUCCGUGCCAGCAGCCGCGGUAAUACGGAGGGUCCGGGCGUUAUCCGGAUUUAUUGGGUUUAAAGGGAGCGUAGGUCGGUUGUUAAGUGAGCUGUGAAAUGUUGCGGCUCAACCUUAAAAUUGCAGUGGGUACUGGCGUUCUUGAGGACGGUUAAGGCAGGCGGAAUUCGUGGGGUAGCGGUGAAAUGCUUAGAUAUCACGAAGAACCCCGAUUGCGAAGGCAGCUUACUAAAGCGCAACUGACGUUGAUGCGCGAAAGCGUGGGUAUCAAACAGGAUUAGAUACCCCAGUAGUC